AGUGGCGAACGGGUGAGUAACACGUGGGGCAACCCUGCCCAAAAGAGGGGGAUAACACUUGGAAACAGGUGCUAAUACCGCAUAACCAUAGUUACCGCAUGGUAACUAUGUAAAAGGUGGCUAUACUACCGCUUUUGGAUGGGCCCGCGGCGCAUUAGCUAGUUGGUAGGGUAAAGGCUUACCAAGGCAAUGAUGCGUAGCCGAAUUGAGAGGUUGAUCGGCCACAUUGGGACUGAGACACGGCCCAAACUCCUACGGAAGGCAGCAG
rnacentral:rRNA from 1 species